rnacentral:tRNA from 1 species
ACCGAAAUAGCUCAGUUGGGAGAGCGUUAGACUAUAGAUCGAAAAGUCCCUGGUUCGAUCCCGGGUUCCAGCA